AGAGUUUGAUCAUGGCUCAGAUUGAACGCUGGCGGAAUGCUUUACACAUGCAAGUCGAACGGCAGCACGGGAGCUUGCUCCUGGUGGCGAGUGGCGAACGGGUGAGUAACAUAUCGGAACGUAUCCAAUAAUGGGGGAUAACUAAUCGAAAGGUUGGCUAAUACCGCAUACGCCCUACGGGGGAAAGCAGGGGAUCUUCGGACCUUGCGUUAAUGGAGUGGCCGAUAUCUGAUCAGCUAGUUGGUGGGGUAAAGGCCCACCAAGGCGACGAUCAGUAGCUGGUCUGAGAGGACGACCAGCCACACUGGAACUGAGACACGGUCCAGACUCCUACGGGAGGCAGCAGUGGGGAAUUUUGGACAAUGGGCGCAAGCCUGAUCCAGCCAUUCCGCGUGAGUGAAGAAGGCCUUCGGGUUGUAAAGCUCUUUCGCAAGGGAAGAAACGAUAGUGACGAAUAAUCACUGUUAAUGACGGUACCUUGAUAAGAAGCACCGGCUAACUACGUGCCAGCAGCCGCGGUAAUACGUAGGGUGCGAGCGUUAAUCGGAAUUACUGGGCGUAAAGCGUGCGCAGGCGGUUUUGUAAGUCAGAUGUGAAAUCCCCGAGCUCAACUUGGGAACUGCGUUUGAAACUACAAGACUAGAAUAGGUCAGAGGGGGGUAGAAUUCCACGUGUAGCAGUGAAAUGCGUAGAGAUGUGGAGGAAUAUCAAUGGCGAAGGCAGCCCCCUGGGAUCAUAUUGACGCUCAUGCACGAAAGCGUGGGGAGCAAACGGGAUUAGAUACCCUGGUAGUCCACGCCCUAAACGAUGUCAACUAGUUGUUGGUAGAGUAAAAUCUAUGAGUAACGCAGCUAACGCGUGAAGUUGACCGCCUGGGGAGUACGAUCGCAAGAUUAAAACUCAAAUGUAUUGACGGGGGCCCGCACAAGCGGUGGAUUAUGUGGAUUAAUUCGAUGCAACGCGAAAAACCUUACCUGGCCUUGACAUGUACGGAACUUGCCAGAGAUGGCUUGGUGCUCGAAAGAGAACCGUAACACAGGUGCUGCAUGGCUGUCGUCAGCUCGUGUCGUGAGAUGUUGGGUUAAGUCCCGCAACGAGCGCAACCCUUGCCAAUAAUUGCCAUCAUUUAGUUGGGCACUUUAUUGGGACUGCCGAUGACAAAUCGGAGGAAGGUGGGGAUGACGUCAAGUCCUCAUGGCCCUUAUGGCCA
rnacentral:rRNA from 1 species